UCGAACUCACUAUACUCUUCUCUUGUGGGCCGGGAAGGGCAAGUCUUGCACUGCAGGUAAUUUUUCAACAUGUUUGUCAGUUUUUCUCGAAAUUGACAAAAUAAUAAUGGAAGUAAAGUGAUGCCAGAUUUUGCAUCUCUAAUGCAAGAGUUACAUAAGUAAACAACCAUCUCAGGAACACUUUUUAGAGCUCUACUUGUCAAUUACUAAAAUGAUUUUGUGACUUUAACUUAAUAAUAAGGAUUGCCUGAGUGGUUGACUCAUGCAAGUAUUUUGAUGGAUGAGAUGAACGGAUUUUAGCUGAGGAAAGGUGCAUAUGAAGCAUUCAGGUUCAGAUUGAUUCACUCGUUUAUCUCGUUUUGCAAGCAACUAUUCGUGAUAGCUAAUGAAUUUCUUAAAGAGUUCUGCUGUAUUACUUUAGCAAGUGGCUAUUUUUGGUUUGUGAAAUAGCUUAGCAAUUUAAGAUGUGCUUUAACAAGGAUUAUGUAUGUGCACACAUAUAGUUUUCCUAUUUCCUUGUUAUAAGUAUUAUUUAUCAUCAUUGUUAUCAUCAGUAUCAUCAUUAUUAUAUUAAUCUGAAUUUGACAAGUAUGGUUUCUGUUCUUAAGAUUUACGUUUUUAAAUUUGACACCAUACUUUUGCCCCCAAUUAUGCUAACUCUUUUCAUUUGAAGUUGUUAAAAAGAGGAACAAAGAAAACUUUAAGGUAACCUUAUGUUAAGCCUCCUUAUAUUAAAAAAAGAAAAGAUUGAACACAUGGAUGACUAACCUCGCGAAAGCACUAGCGAAGUGUCUGCACUCGGCUCGCAGCGGGCAUGCAUUACAAUUUGGUUUGCUUUUGGUGCAAAAAACCUGUGCCAAUUUUGAAAUUAAGCCAUAAUAAUUCUGUCUGAUGAGAGACAACCUCCCCAAAAUAAGUCAUACUCAGCAUAUUAAACUUGAAAAAGUGCAGUUAAACUUACCUUUCCAAAUGUAAUCAUGUGGUAGUGCAGUUCAUACCUGCCAAUACAUCCAUGGGUAUGUUAGAGCGUCCUUUAGAUUAAUAAUUGCAUGUUUAACCAAACAAAAAUUAUAAUGAGGUCUUGAGAAAGUACAAUGUUCUUUGGUCGAGCUUGCACAGUCGUGGCCAGAGAUACUUCUGAAUUGACUCCAGAACCGGAUACCUGUGUGGAAGCAUGAAUGAUAACCCGUAUAGUAGAUAAAGUGCAGUUUUGAGGUUUUGCUUUAAUAACUUACAGUUCAAGAAGAUGCAACUGCAGUGACUCAGGAAGUGGUUGGAGAGGAACCCAUCCUAGUCGCACAGCAAUUCGUCCAACAUUUGUGUCAACCUGACAAAUUCAACUUUGAGUUCUAGAUCAAGUUUGUAGGUCAUUGCAAAUUGGCAAGUGGAUCUUACUGGAAAAGCAAGGUUGUGAAGUGUUAAUAGCCGCACACACUCCACACUUUUCAGGCCCAGUCCACGAAUACUUAAUAGAUACUCUCUGCAGUAAGGAACAAAUAAUUUAGGGGCAGGUAAACUCAUGAAAUUUUUACUGUAUUAGUGCAAGGAACUUACUUUGCUUUUUCUGGGGCCACAUCUCUCAACCAUUCUAGGUCAAUACUUCCGUGAUCCGUUACCAGUCUAUUGAGGAAGUCCUGCACAAUAAGAAAUUAUCCUUAUGAAUCUUUACUUAUCCGACGAGGUCUCUUUUCUCCUUGCGACUCAUCAAAAUAUGUUUAGUGCUCUGUUACCUUAAUUCGCUCUGCCAGCAUGUUGUUCAUCCCUCGUUCCUUAAUAGCAUCAGAGAUUUCUUUAACUGGUGCACAUCUAACUGCUUCAUAGUUCAGUGAGUCCAUUGCAUCCUUGCUUCUUUCUUUUUUCCCACUCUUUGGUUGGACUUGCUUUCUCAAGCUAUCCCAGUCAAAAGCUUUCUUAUCUCCUUCCUCAGUUUUCCUUUUUCUUGUAUUUGAGAUGCUGGUGCCUGUUACACUGGGUUGCUCGCUUGAAAUAUAAGCUUGAACUUCUGCAUGUGAUUUGGUUAUAUUGCAAGAGUUUCUUGCACGUACUACGAGGUAAGAACUACAGAUGUAUGUAAAUUAACAAUCUUAUUUGCAUAUUUUGGGAUAUAAGGUUUACCUUCUUGUCCUUUAGCAAUGGCUUCUGCACGGUUUACUGACUGUCGGAUGCAAGUGCUUUCUAGUUGUGAGGCCAUUGACAUCUCCUUUGGAUGGCAACUUACAGAAUGUUGAUAAUUUCCAUUGUGAGGCUGCAUUUGUAAGUUUCCUUCCUCUUCUCUGUGCUUACUUGCAAAUGCAUAAUCUUCCAUUCUUGAUGCAUGAACAAUGGGCACUGUGGUUCGCUGAGCUGUCAAAGUACUUGAACUUCCUGUUAUCUGUUUCACGCUUCUGCUCAGGAAGUCUACUCCUUUUGCGGCAUUGAGUUCUGGAGUUAUUGAAGUCAAAGAGGAGGCAAUUUCUUUCUCACGGCAUGCUGUUUCAUGUUUUCCAAAUCCUGGUGUCAUGGUCAACCAGAAACUACUGGAAGUUCUUGCUGAUUUUUCUUGACCCUGAACAUGUGGAUUGAUUGGAUAACCAUGCAAGUACGUCUCAGCAUCAAGAGUUUGAUUAUGCCUGAUACCCGCUACAGCUACUGACUUAUGAUUCCUGAAGAUGGGCAUGUUUUCUGAUUGUUUAUUCCUCAUAAAGUGACUCUGGUAUUCCUGGAAUGCAGCAGGCCACUUUGCCGGCGGAGAACAGUUUGUUCGAGUGCUAUUCUUGUUCAAG
rnacentral:lncRNA from 1 species